CUGCCUAGAAGGACAGCAUCCCGGAGUCACCUCUUCACUGUUGACGGUGAGACUGGACAGAGGAACUCUGCCUAGAAGGCCAGCAUCCCGGAGUCACCUCUUCACUGUUGACGUUGAGACUGGACAGAGGAACUCUGCCUAGAAGGUCAGCAUCUCGGAGUCACCUCUUCACUGUUGACGGUGAGACUGGACAGAGGAACCCUGCCUAGAAGGCCAGCAUCCCGGAGUCACCUCUUCACUGUUGACGUUGAGACUGGACAGAGGAACUCUGCCUAGAAGGACAGCAUCCCGGAGUCGCCUCUUCACUGUUGACGGUGAGACUGGACAGAGGAACUCUGCCUAGAAGGACAGCAUCCCGGAGUCACCUCUUCACUGUUGACGGUGAGACUGGACAGAGGAACUCUGCCUAGAAGGCCAGCAUCCCGGAGUCGCCUCUUCACUGUUGACGGUGAGACUGGACAGAGGAACUCUGCCUAGAAGGCCAGCAUCCCAGAGUCGCCUCUUCACUGUUGACGGUGAGACUGGACAGAGGAUCUCUGCCUAGAAGGUCAGCAUCUCGGAGUCACCUCUCUGGUUUUGUGAUGAAAUGUGUAUGAACUUAUCCUGCCGCGGCCUUAUUAUAUAUCACUGUGGCAUUUAAUGGGUUAUAGAGCAAACAGCGUAAUUAUCACAACCUAGGUUGUGUUAUGGAUUUUUUUACUGGCUUGGCUUCCUCAGUGAUUUUACACCACUACUGUACUUUAUUAGUGUAACAAUAUAACUUUAGACCGUCCCACCGUACUACUGCAUAUAAGGUAUAACUUUAGACCGUACCCCAGUACUACUGCAUAUAAGGUAUAACUUUAGACCGUCCCCCCGUACUACUGCAUAUAAGGUAUAACUUUAGACCGUCCCCCAGUACUACUGCAUAUAAGGUAUAACUUCAGACCGUCCCCCAGUACUACUGCAUAUAAGGUAUAACUUUAGACCGUCCCCCAGUACUACUGCAUAUAAGGUAUAACUUUAGACCGUCCCCCAGUACUACUGCAUAUAAGGUAUAACUUCAGACCGUCCCCCAGUACUACUGCAUAUAAGGUAUAACUUUACACCGUCCCCCAGUACUACUGCAUAUAAGGUAUAACUUUAGACCGUCCCCCAGUACUACUGCAUAUAAGGUAUAACUUCAGACCGUCCCCCAGUACUACUGCAUAUAAGGUAUAACUUCAGACCGUCCCCCAGUACUACUGCAUAUAAGGUAUAACUUCAGACCGUCCCCCAGUACUACUGCAUAUAAGGUAUAACUUCAGACCGUCCCCCAGUACUACUGCAUAUAAGGUAUAACUUCAGACCGUCCCCCAGUACUACUGCAUAUAAGGUAUAACUUCAGACCGUCCCCCAGUACUACUGCGUAUAAGGUAUAACUUUAGACCGUCCCCCAGUACUACUGCAUAUAAGGUAUAACUUUAGACCGUCCCCCAGUACUACUGCGUAUAAGGUAUAACUUUAGACCGUCCCCCAGUACUACUGCAUAUAAGGUAUAACUUUACACCGUCCCCCAGUACUACUGCAUAUAAGGUAUAACUUUAGACCGUCCCCCAGUACUACUGCAUAUAAGGUAUAACUUCAGACCGUCCCCCAGUACUACUGCAUAUAAGGUAUAACUUUAGACCGUCCCCCAGUACUACUGCAUAUAAGGUAUAACUUUACACCGUCCCCCAGUACUACUGCAUAUAAGGUAUAACUUCAGACCGUCCCCCAGUACUACUGCAUAUAAGGUAUAACUUUAGACCGUCCCCCAGUACUACUGCAUAUAAGGUAUAACUUCAGACCGUCCCCCAGUACUACUGCAUAUAAGGUAUAACUUCAGACCGUCCCCCAGUACUACUGCAUAUAAGGUAUAACUUCAGACCGUCCCCCAGUACUACUGCAUAUAAGGUAUAACUUUAGACCGCCCCCCAGUACUACUGCAUAUAAGGUAUAACUUCAGACCGUCCCCCAGUACUACUGCAUAUAAGGUAUAACUUCAGACCGUCCCCCAGUACUACUGCAUAUAAGGUAUAACUUCAGACCGUCCCCCAGUACUACUGCAUAUAAGGUAUAACUUCAGACCGUCCCCCAGUACUACUGCAUAUAAGGUGCUGAUCACAUGUUUCAUGAACUGAAAUAAAAGAUUCCAGAAAUGUUCCAUACGCACAAAAAGCUCAAAUUGUGUGCAGAACUUUAUUUACGUCCCUGUCAGUGAGCAUUUCUCAUUUUGCCAAGAUAAUCCAUCCACCUGACAGGUGUGGCAUAUCAAGACGCUGAUUAAACAGCGUAAAAGGCCAUUCUAAAAUGUGUACAGAUGUCUCAAGUUUUGAGGGAGUUGGCAUGCUGACUGCAGGAAUGUCCACCAGAGUUGUUGCCAGAGAAUUGAAUGUUCAUUUUUCUUCCAUAAGCCGCCUCCAGCGUCGUUUUAGAGAA